rnacentral:rRNA from 1 species
UACGGAGGUGGCAAGCGUUGCUCGGAAUCACUGGGCGUAAAGGGCGCGUAGGCGGGGAGGUAAGUCGGGUGUGAAAUCCCUCGGCCCAACUGAGGAACUGCGCCCGAGACUGCUUCUCUUGAGUCCCGGAGAGGGAGAUGGAAUUCCCGGUGUAGCGGUGAAAUGUGUAGAGAUCGGGAGGAACACCGGUGGCGAAGGCGGUCUUCUGGACGGUGACUGACGCUGAGGCGCGAAAGCGUGGGGAGCAAACGGG